AGUCUGUGAUGAUUAGCUAUUUAUCAUUGCAGUUUGGAAUGCUGAUUGUUUUGUUAAUUAAAAGCAGAUGGUAGAAGCUGGAGAAAGAAUGUGUAGCAGCUGAUUAGUGGAGUAAAUGAAUUUGAAGAUAUUUAACUUCCAGAUAAUAGAUGGGUCAAACACAGUUUAUACUUCACUGUGUACUUUUAGAGUAAUUCCAUGCACGAUGUUUGAUAAUAUAUCAAGAAUCAUUUUCUGAGAAGUGUCUGCUGAAGUGGAAAAAGUGGGAGAAUCAAAAAAUAUGCUUCUAAGGGAAAUCUGGAUGAAUAUAUACAAAGAAGGAAGCUGAUAUGAAGGCAACUACAUGAUGGCGAAGAUGGGACAGACGAAACUGCAAGCCAAGUAAUGCCAAAGAACUGCCUACCACCAGCAACUAGAAAGAAGCAAGUAAGGAUUCUACGCAGAGUCUCAGAUGGAGCAUAGCUCUGCUGACACAUGGAUUUUAUAUUUCCAGCCUGUAGAUUUGUAAAAUAAUACAUUUCUGCUUGUUCUAAGCCACCUAGUUUGUGAUACUUUGUUACAGUCACUCAGUGUUAGUCACUCAGCUGUGUUCAACUCUUUGUAACCCCAUGGACUGUAGCCUGCCAGGUUCCUCUGUCCAUGGAUUCUCCAGGCAAGAAUAUUGGAGUGGGUUGCCAUUUCCUUCUUUCGGGGGAUAUUCUCGACUCAUGGAUCUGAUCAGGUCUCCCACCUUGUGGGCAGAAGCCAUACUUUGUUUUAGUAACCCUAGCCAAAUAAUAUAAAAUCCACUCACUACCUGUCAUGAAAAUUUUUCCUUGAGAAAGACAUCUGGAAGAAUGGGUUAAUAAUAGAGAAUGUAAUACUCUGCUUAUUAAUAUGUAGCCCUUCGAUAUAUUUUUAGAUGCUUUUAAAUGUGAAUUUCUGUUAUUAAUACAAAAGCUAUGCAUGUUCACUAAAGAAAAUGUUCAAAAUAGUGACAGGUGGUCUGAAUGGGUCCUUCCUUGCCCUGUAGUGUUUUCUCCAUAGAGCAGCUAGGAUGAACUAAUUGAAAUAUUGAUCUUGCCUCUUCUCUCAUUAAAACCCUUCAAUGACUUUUUCAUCUCACUCAGAGCAAAUCUAUAGAAUUUAAGUGACUUAUAAUCCAUAUAAAUCAUUACAGUAAUUAUUCUCAAUAAACUGGGAGCAUUUGAAAACUGCUGUUGUCUGAGUUCCUUCUUAAAUUCAAACAGAUCUCUGAGGGUGUGGACUGGGCAUGGGUAUUUUGAAAGUCUCUCUUGGUGAUUCUGAAGUAAGAUAAAGAACCACUACCUGUCACAGUUUCUCCUAUCCACUCCUAAAACCCUUAUUUUUUCUCCUGUUAUUUCUUCGACCUCAUGUCCUACUACCUUCAUCCUGGCUGCACUGGCCUCCUUGCUGUACCUUAUAAUCCUCAAGCAUGCUCUCACUUGCUCUUUGUUCUGUCGCUGCACCAUCAGGUAUUCAUUUACAUGACUGGCUUCUUCACUUCAUUCAGGUCUUUGCUCAAAGGAAACUUUACCAGUGAAGCCUUUUCUGACCCCUUUAAAAAAUACUCUCCACAUUCCAUCCCCUACUCCUGCC
ensembl:lncRNA